AUGGAGUUUGUGAGUUGCUCGGUGGCCGCAGCCGCCGCUGCUGGGGCGACGGCCACCGAGUCCCCGCGGGACCCGAGCCUGGUGCCCGAGCGGCUCCAGCGACGCGAGCAGGAGCGGCAGCUGGGGGUGGAGAAGCGCAAGCAGGAGCGGCAGAGCCAGGCGGUGGCCGAGGAGAAGAGCGACUUCUUCGCCUCGGCCUUCGCCCGCGAGCGCGCGGCCGUCGAAGAGCUGCUGCGGGGCGGCCCGGGAGAGUCGGCCGAGAGGCUGGAGGAGGCGGCGUCCCGGCUGCAGGGCCUGCGGAAGCUUCUCAACGACUCGGUGGUGUUCCUCGCCCCCUACGAUCUGCGACAGGGCCAGGAGGCGCUGGCGCAGCUGCAGGCGACCCUGGCCGACCGGCGCCACGAGCUGCAGCCCAAGAAGCGCUUCGCUUUCAAGACCCGGAGAAAGGAGGCUGCGGUGCUCAGCCCUGCCGACCAGGCAUCUAGCCCCCCGGCUGCUGCUGCUGCUGAAGGCAUCGUGAGCCCUUCGCCUGGCCCCUCGCCAGAGGCGGGGACUUUAGCCUCCAGCUGGGCCUGUGGCUUCUCCAACCUCCAGUCCCAGGUCUUGGAGAAGGGAGCCGAGGAGCUGCGCCAGCGCGACAUCCUUUUGACCGACCUGAGCGACUGCACUGUCAGACUGUAUGGCAAUCCCAACACUCUGCGGCUGGCCAGGGCCCUCCGCUGCAAGGUGCUCUGCGGCCCCGUGUCCACGUCCGUGUUCCUGGAGGACUGCAGUGACUGCGUGCUGGCCGUGGCCUGCCAACAGCUCCGCGUCCACACGACCAGAGACACCCGCGUCUUCCUGCAGGUCACCUGCAGGGCCAUCGUGGAGGAUUGCCGCGGCAUCCAGUUCGCUCCUUACACCUGGAGCUACCCGGGGAUGGACGAGGACUUCCAGGGCUCUGGUUUAGAUAGGAACAAAAAUAACUGGAACGACGUUGACGAUUUCAACUGGCUAGCCCGAGGUGUGCCCUCCCCAAACUGGAGUAUUCUUCCUGAAGAGGAGCGGGAGAUCCAGUGGGACUAAGCGGUUGUCAUUCUCUGUCCUUACCAAAUCCUUUCCUUCUGGGGGAUGACAACCUCUCGUGGCAUUCCGGUUUACUGCUGGCUGUCGCGUUGUUUUGAGGCUUGAAUUUGUGAACACCCUGCUUGCUUCCGCAUCAAGAGCAACGUGGAUGGGCGCUACCUGGUGGACGGCGUCCCCUUCAGCUGCUGCAACCCCAACUCGCCGCGGCCGUGCAUCCAGUACCAGCUCACCAACAACUCGGCUCACUACAGCUACG